UGUGCUCGCUUGACCUGUCUGAUGUGCAGCCAUGGGCAGCUGGCUGAGGGUGGCAGGGCACUCAGCUAACCCAAAGUGACACGUGCCUGGCGGGACGUUCAGUCUUUAUAAA
rfam:Callithrix jacchus chromosome 1, whole genome shotgun sequence